rnacentral:tRNA from 1 species
GGGGCUGUGGCUCAGCACAGGAGCAUCUGCUUGGCAUGUUAGAAGGCCCAGGGUUCGAUCCCUGGCAUCUCCU